rnacentral:rRNA from 1 species
UACGUAGGGGGCAAGCGUUGUCCGGAAUCAUUGGGCGUAAAGCGCGUGUAGGCGGCUUGGUAAGUCCGUUCUGAAAGCCCGGGGCUCAACCCCGGGAGGCGGAUGGAUACUGUCAAGCUUGAGUCCGGAAGAGGUGAGUGGAACUGCGAGUGUAGAGGUGAAAUUCGUAGAUAUUCGCAAGAACACCAGUGGCGAAGGCGGCUCACUGGUCCGGUACUGGACGCUGAGGUGCGAAAGCGUGGGGAGCAAACAGG